AUCCAGCUGGAGAGUUUCAAAAUAAGACGAAACGCGCGUCCUGGAU
rfam:Schistosoma haematobium scaffold2481_8, whole genome shotgun sequence.